rnacentral:misc_RNA from 1 species
GCUUAUACUACACAGUAAUCAAUAUAUUUGGAAGUGGCGGAUCCAGUCUCUCACAAAGCAAGGCAGCCGUUUGUUCUCAUCAAGUGAAUCGGAAUAUUGAGCUUCUUUUUGGAUCCAAGAAAUGAACUUAGGGAGACUGAAAAAUGUGGUAGCUGCUGCAGCGAUUGAAGGAUUAGCCGAGGUAAGGGCCAAGAUAUUUGGUCAUGUAAUUAAUCCAACUGGGCAGCGAUCUGCUCACAAGGUUUUACGCAAGAAGCUGAUCGGUGAAAAGGUCUCACAAUGGUACCCACACGAUAUCAUGAAAGAUGACCCUCUUGUGAUGGCUCGUCAAGAGCAAGAGCGUCUCAGCAAGCUUGAAAUGUUGAAACGUCGUGGAAAGGGGCCACCUAAGAAGGGCCAGGGCAAACAGGCUAAGAAACGCAACAAAUAGAGAUGAUAGUCUCACUGGUUUGAAAUAAAGGGGUAUCUAGGAUUACUAUUUGCAAUUUGAUUACUAACUUUUCUCAUCAGCCACUUGCUUUCUAGUGAACAUCAUCUGCAUACUCUUCUACAAUUUUUUUCCAUAUAGUUUGGGCUGUUCGAG